GUGGUUCAAGAUGAAGCUGUGCUUGCUUUUUCUUUUCUAGAGAGAAAAGGGAACAUCUGCAUCUGACCACCAAAAAACAUGGCUGGAGUCUUCACAUUGGGAGAAUUUGCCGGAAUGUCUUUGUGGAAGAGAUUCAACAUUUCCAAAGAGGGUCCCCCAUCCGUCAUCUGCUCUCUUUUCAUCCCCAGAUAAAAAGAGCUCAUUUUCUUUUUAAUGACAUCACCUCGCUCAUCCGGACCACAGGGAUGGCCUCCUGAACGCCUCCUGCUUCCGCGCCCCUCUCUCCUCCCUAGCGCAGUCUACGAGCAUCUGGAGGGAUAUUUUAUAAACCUAGGUAAGAUCACAUCACUGCCGCACUGAAAAUUUGUCAAUACCUUUGCGGCCCGCUCUUGCCCUCACUCACCUCACUUUUUCCGGACCCCAUUCCCACCUCCGCCCUCCUCAUUGAUAUCCCCAUGCCUGGAAUGAUCUUCCCCUCAUGUCUGCACUCGCUGGGUUGUUUAGUCUGGGUUAUCCAGGGCUGAGCACGGUUCCCAGCGCAGUGGAAAACCAGAGAGGGCGCUUCGCGAUGGGGCAGCUGCAGAGUCACCUUGCAAAGGGUGAGAAUACCAAGAGGAACGAGGGACAGUGGCCCUUGGCGGACCCCCCCCAUGGGGUGGACAAUGGUGGAAACCAGGGCGAUCCAAGAAAGUGGGGCUCAUGAUCUCCCCAGAAGCAGAAGGACCUUCCGAGUCCUGAAUUCGUUCCGGACUGGCCAUCUGUGCCUCCUGGGUCCCCACGAGAGAAGGUUGGACUGUUGCUCCUGAACAAGAAGCUCCUGGCCCGUGGGGAAGAUUCUGUCCGUGUCGUGUCCCCGUUCGAGGUCACUGGAGGGGUCUGAUCAGCGAAGGCUUGUAUCACCAUCCCUUGUACGUGUCAUGUGACCCUUUGUCCUCCUGUCCUGAGCUUGCUGUCCGGGUCUCUCGGCCUCCCGUCUCGGGGCAGCGAUUGACGGCUGGAGGAGGAAGUCCAGAUUCCUGCUGAGUGUCGGAGGAAGGCAACCCGAGAUCCGGAAUGAGUCACAAAAUAAAAAUAUCUGCACGGGCAA